rnacentral:piRNA from 1 species
UGUGUGUGCCCAGCUCGAACGAGGUAU